AUCCAUAUUGGUUUAACUAGUACAGAAUUAUAUAUAUAUAUAUUUAUAUAUAUAUAUAUAUAUAUUUGGUUGAUCAAUGUUCCUGUUUACCUUUUACAUAUUUAGACAAUAUGAUGGUAAGACAAUCCAGCAGAUUCGGUACAGGGAAAUUAUACCAAAAUAUUGGCCCAAGUCAUUGAGCACAUUUAUAACAAUUCAAAGUCUGCUAUAUAAUCAUAUGCUCUCAGCAGAAAUUGAAGAAUAGUGUCAGUGAAAAUAAUAUAGAACUAUUCAGGCCUAGAGCCAUACAGUAUCCAAGUGCAUUUCCUGUGUUUCUCAGAAACGAGUAGUCUAACAAAAGCUGUAGAGCCAAGGUUGAUGAUAGGUUGAUCAAUCAAUCAAUCAAUCAGUAAAAUAUACUCUAUUCUUAUUGAAAGAUUGUGCUCUGUGGAGUUUUGUGUUUUUAACAGGGUUAUUCUUUAAGCUAGAAGAUGCAAGUUUUCAUCCAAUAUAACUUUCUUUACAAUUCCCUUAUAUCCCCCUAGAUAUAUUAGAGCACCAGUGGGCAACCUUUGGCACUCGAGAUGUUGUGGAUAUGUCCCAUGAUGGCUGUAAGAGCAUUAUGGGAGAUGUAGUCCACUGUAUCGAGAGUGCCAAAGGUUGCCUACCAUUGUUUAAGGGUGUCAUGUUUGGAGGGCGGAAAAAAGAAUGCAAACCAAAGUGUGUCAUUCUUUAAUUCCAUUAGACAUCUCCCUAGAAUAAUGAUCUACAAGCUGCAUGGGUGCUUCUAACCCAAUAGCACGAAGAUCUCGAUUAGGUAUAAGCUUGAUGCAUUACAAUCAAGACCGAAAAGCUGACCUGCCAAACACACAGAAGGUAUAUGUAGAUUGGCAUCGGCUGGGAGAUCUGUUCAGUAAACUAAUACAUAGCAACAUUCCCACAAGCUAUGGAAGGCCUAACAGCAUAACACAGAGAUUGAGAUAGCUCCAGAUAAUAAAAAUCUGUAAAAUUCCUGCUAUCCUUAUGGUUUGUUUUACAAUGGAAUUUUUUGUGAUGACAAUAUGGACAUUUGUUUUUUCUGUUGCUUACUUUACUUUUCUUAUUUACAAAUCUUCACCAGAUCUGUAUAACAAUUGCUAUAAUAUUCUCCCGUUGCCUUGCCCAGCAAAACUGAUUGCUAAACACAAUCAUUCAUUAAAAUGUGAAUCGUUAGGGAUUCCAAGUAAGUUUCAUAUUUUAAGCCAAAAUAAUCCAAUUGGAAACAUAGCCAACUUGGCUAUGUUUUUUUUUUUAUUUAUUUUUUUGUUUUUUUAUUUUGGCCUAAAAUAAAAAAAUAAUAUAAAAAUAAAAAAAUCCAAUAUCCAAUUUGAAUUCAUAGCCUAAUGAGUAGCACUGUUGUUAAUUCUUUUUUUUGUAGUUUCCUGGAACAAAAUCAUUUUAGUUUAGUGAACUCCCAGUUUUAUUAUAUUUUGUUGAAAGCAUACCACCAUAUAUCGUGUUAAUAAACGUAUUUAUUUUCAGUUUUAGUGUUUUAUAUAAAAUAUAUAAUAGAUAUGGUUUUGAGCCCUUAUUUACAAAUGUGAAUUAUGUUUGAUUUAGGAAUUCUUCUAUCACAUUUUGCAAUCUAAAUUUGUAUUUUACUACCUUUUUCCAGUUGGUGUGAUUUAUUUCCUAUUUUGCUUUAAAUUAAGGGGUAUAGUAACAAAGAAUUUGUCUUGGUGACUUGAGAACCAACUAGCAAAACGUAGAAUCAAAUAGCUGAGAGAUUUGAAAAAUCCCAGUGGAGUUGGAUAAUGUUUCCAAUUUUGCAAGUUGGCUCGCAAGUCAAAAUAACAUGCUGUUUAUAGAGUUUAAUAUUUUCUCCAAAUUAACGACAGUAUAUUUGCAUGAUAAUAGCAGACACAAUAGAUUUAAAUGCAGUUCCCAGUAGUAUAAAUCUGAUUAAAAAGUAAUCAGGCAGGUAUAACACUGUAAACCAGUGAUGCAUAUCUUUUGGCAACAAUUGUUAUAAAUUUGUUCAUUACACAGUUAUCAUUGUUGAAUCUAUAAUUGAAUUGACAAAUUUAUGCUAGAAUAUUUAGGAUGGAAAACCAUAUAAUUGAAGUAUUUUUCCAUUUGAGCUGUGUAAAUAUUGCAAUUCUGUGUUAAAUUCACAAUUAACUGUUUAUUCAAUAUACCCUAGAGCAGGGGUUUUAAAUAAUCAGCGCAGGGACCAUUUCCAGCCCCCUAAAUACUUUAAUGCAACCCAUGGCUAUUAUCCCAGAAUAUAGAGAGGUAUGUCCGUGCCCUGACACACCCCUCUAUGUCCUGGAUUGCUAGUGGCCUAGUCUGAAUUAGGGGGCUUUUUUUUGUGCAGUGUGCUCCUGUUAGCUUCAUUAGUAAAGUUUGGCCAUUUAACAGUUGUGUACCAUAACUUCUGUAAUUCCAUACAGCACAUGGAAACAGCCUGUAUUGAGAGCUUGUCCACAUUACCAGUGCUGGGGAGGAGUGAUUUGCGUAUACGCACAUACAUCUUGCAAAACGGAUCUGCAACCCCCAUGGGGGUGACAACUUGGCCAGUGGCCUCCAGUUAAACUGAUAUUGAGACCCCUGCCCUAGAGUAUAAAAAAACACAUCACCAUUACAGGAAAUACAGCUUUCUUUCAGCUAUGAAGAAACAUUUUGUUUUAGUACAUACAAUGACUGAAAUGACAAUGCUGAUGUUAUUUUAUACUGUUUUAUUUUAAACAAAAUAUUUAUGGUAUGUCUGUAGUUUUAAAAAAAAUAUCUAGCUUGUACUUUUUGUUUGAAAUAGAAAAGGCAUUUUUCCAUCACUUGUACAGAAGAGAACGUUAUGUAGUGUUAAUAUAAAUUAAAAAUAAAGAAUGGAUGUUUUGUAACUUGCUUGUUUGAAUAACGUCUUUUUCUUGUGUUAACAAAUUGUAGGCCAUUAAAUUCUGAAAUGGGCCAUUUCCAAAUUCAAGACACAAAAUACAAUAAUAUCUUAGAGUUAUCGUAAAC
rnacentral:lncRNA from 1 species